rnacentral:rRNA from 1 species
AUGCACGCUGGCGGCGUGCCUAAUACCUGCCAGUCGAGCGAACAGACGAGGAGCUUGCUCCUCUGACGUUAGCGGCGGACGGGUGAGUAACACGUGGAUAACCUACCUAUAAGACUGGGAUAACUUCGGGAAACCGGAGCUAAUACCGGAUAAUAUAUUGAACCGCAUGGUUCCAUAGUGAAAGACGGUUUUGCUGUCACUUAUAGAUGGAUCCGCGCCGCAUUAGCUAGUUGGUAAGGUAACGGCUUACCAAGGCAACGAUGCGUAGCCGACCUGAGAGGGUGAUCGGCCACACUGGAACUGAGACACGGUCCAGACUCCUACGGGAGGCAGCAGUAGGGAAUCUUCCGCAAUGGGCGAAAGCCUGACGGAGCAACGCCGCGUGAGUGAUGAAGGUCUUCGGAUCGUAAAACUCUGUUAUUAGGGAAGAACAAAUGUGUAAGUAACUAUGCACGUCUUGACGGUACCUAAUCAGAAAGCCACGGCUAACUACGUG